GAAUACGAUCACAUCCCUGAAGUUGCUUUUUACAUGGUGGGUCACAUUGAGGAGGUGGAUCAGAAGGCAGCCAGGCUGGCAGAGGAGCAAUCCUAGGCCACCUUGUUACUAUCAAUUCAUUAUUAUAGGGUGAUCUGACUUCUUAACAUAGUGAUUAUAAUUUAUGUCUGGACAUUAGUGCUGUGAAGUGGACAACAGAUAAAAUGGGAGAAUGACCAAGUGACCUAUUUUGUGAUGUAUAAAUGUUGUAGAUCUUCAAAGUCUACAAUAAAUACGUUUUGAAAAAAUU
rnacentral:misc_RNA from 1 species